rnacentral:rRNA from 1 species
UUUUUGAAAAUAAUUUAAAGUCUAAUCUGCCCACUGAUUAUAUAUUAAAGGGCUGCAGUAUUUUGACUGUACAAAGGUAGCAUAAUCAUUAGUCUCUUAAUUGGUGACUUGUAUGAAAGAUUGGAUGAAAUAUAUACUGUCUCUAUUUAAUAAAUAAAAUUUAAUUUUUUAGUCAAAAAGCUAAAAUAAUUUUAAAAGACGAGAAGACCCUAUAGAGUUUUAUAAUUAGUUUAAUUAUUAUUAAUAUAUAAAAUUUAAUAUUAAAAUUAAAUAAAUUAUUUUAUUGGGGUGAUAAAAAAAUUAAAAUAACUUUUUUUUAUAAUUAACAUUAAUUUAUGAAUAAUUGAUCCAUUUAUAAUGAUUAAAAGAAAAAAUUACCUUAGGGAUAACAGCGUAAUUUUUUUUUUUAGUUCAAAUAGGAAAAAAAGUUUGCGACCUCGAUGUUGGAUUAAGAUAAAAUUUAAAUGUAAAGGUUUAAAAUUUUGAUCUGUUCGAUCAUUAAAAU